rnacentral:rRNA from 1 species
CCUACGGGAGGCAGCAGUGGGGAAUAUUGGACAAUGGGGGAAACCCUGAUCCAGCGACGCCGCGGGAGUGAAGAAGUAUUUCGGUACGUAAAGCUCUAUCAGCAGGAAAGAAAAUGACGGUACCUGACUAAGAAGCCCCGGCUAACUACGUGCCAGCAGCCGCGGUAAUACGUAGGGGGCAAGCGUUAUCCGGAUUUACUGGGUGGAAAGGGAGCGUAGACGGCAGCGCAAGUCUGGAGUGAAAUGCCGGGGCCCAACCCCGGAACUGCUCUGGAAACUGUGAAGCUGGAGUGCAGGAGAGGUAAGCGGAAUUCCUGGUGUAGCGGGGAAAUGCGUAGAUAUCAGGAGGAACACCGGCGGCGAAGGCGGCUUACUGGACUGUAACUGACGUUGAGGCUCGAAGGCGUGGGGAGCAAACAGGAUUAGAUACCCCUGUAGUC